rnacentral:rRNA from 1 species
CCUACGGGAGGCAGCAGUGGGGAAUAUUGCGCAAUGGGCGAAAGCCUGACGCAGCGACGCCGCGUGAGGGAUGAAGGUCUUCGGAUCGUAAACCUCUGUCAGCAGGGAAGAACGGUCACUGUGCUAAUCAGCAGUGAAUUGACGGUACCUGCAAAGGAAGCACCGGCUAACUCCGUGCCAGCAGCCGCGGUAAUACGGAGGGUGCGAGCGUUAAUCGGAAUUACUGGGCGUAAAGCGCUCGUAGGCGGUAUGUCAAGUCAAGGGUGAAAUCCCCGGGCUCAACGUGGGAACUGCCUUUGAAACUGGCAAACUGGAGUGUGUGAGAGGAUAGUGGAAUGCCAGGUGUAGGAGUGAAAUGCGUAGAGAUCUGGAGGAACAUCAGUGGCGAAGGCGACUAUCUGGCACAUAACUGACGCUGAGGAGCGAAAGCGUGGGUAGCAAACAGGAUUAGAUACCCUAGUAGUC